GGAGCGAAUUGGGCGAUCGCUAUAGUUUUUCUGUAGAGGAAGGUCCGGACUCCAAGAACAAAGGUGACGGUUAACGACCGUACGCAAUAGGCUGAUAAGCUGAAGGCGAGGAAUAGGGCCACAGAGACGAGCCGGCGAGAUAAUUUUGCCGAUGUGAAACGGGCAACCUCCACCUGGAGCAACACCAAAUAGGCAUGCGCGCAAGUUUAUUGUAGAGUCUGUUCGGCUUAGCAUGCGGGUAGGUGGCUAGAGCUCACUAGUAAUAGUGAGUCGAGAUGGAUGGUCGCACAAGAUCUUUAUUGAUUUGGACAGAAUCCGGCCUAUAGAUUCGCUUCGCAA
rnacentral:RNase_P_RNA from 1 species